CAAGUGUUGGAAAGAAUGUAGAGAAAAUCUCCCAUAAUGUUGGUUGGUGGAUAACUUGGUCAAAAAACACAGGAGGGUAUUUGUAUGUAUGUAAUUAGUUUAAAGUGAUCAAAUAUUUUAAGGCAUACUCAUUGUGGCUUUUUUUUUUUUUUCCGCUGUGCCUGCAGUAUGUGAAAAUUCCCAGCCUAGGGAUCAAACCACUACCAAAGCAGCAACUAGAGCCACUGCAGUGACAACAGCAGAUCCUUAACUCACUGCACUGCAGCAGGAACUCCUCAUUGUGGCUUCUUACCACAAGUAAUACAUUAGAAACAACAAUUCACGUAGAAUACCAAAAAGCAGUUAAAUAAACAAAUUAGAUUCAUUAUGUGUCAAAAUAAUAAAAUUAAUGAAAAAAGCAAUUCAGAGUAAAAUGUUCGCAACACACAAUUCAAUGCUUACAUUGAAUUAUAUGUGUUGCUUACAGUUGCAUAUGUAUGUAAUAAAGGCGGGUGAAUGGGAACUACCACCAAUUUCUCCCAGUUCCAAAAGUCCAUAACACCCCAUAUACAAAAAUAUGUUCUGUAUAUUUGUGGUUUCUGCGUUACUUUUACCAAGGUAUUGUAAUAAUUCAAAAGAUAGAAACAGCUAUUUUCUUCCUGGGAAAUCCUUGCCAUGUCAUGGUUUUAACUCACAUCCUUCGAUGUAAACCCUUCGUCUCAAUCUACCUCCCUGUCCCAAAUUGCUCCUUUGGAUGUCAGAACUGCAUGUUGCUAUAGUUCCCUAGACAUUGGAUGCCCACCAGGCCCCUAACACCGAACGAUUGAAAGAUGAACUCAUCUUCCCUUGAAGCCCUUGCUCCUCACCUGCCUCAGGUUCCUGUCUCAGAGAAUGGCUUAGUCAUCUCACAGAUUACUCACAUACAUGAUCUCCGCCUCCACUCUCUUCCUCAGUCCCCACAUCCUGUUACAAAGUAUUCUCUAUCCCACUUGUCAAAUAUUUAUUUCAGCCUUCCUUUUCUCACCAUUCCAGAUGUGGAACCAUGCCCAAGCCCCUUGUCUUUGGGCUAGAUUAUUACCAUAGCCUCCUCAUCUCUUCACUGCAGUGCAGCUAAAAAGCAAAUCAAACUGUGCAACUUCCAAGUGCAGUGCUUCUAAUGUAUGUCCUUCUAAUGUAUGCCCUUAGUAUGUCCCCUGAUUAAAAUCUUACAAUGGGACCUACUUGUCCUUAGGAUAGAGGUCAGGCUUCUCAGAACUGUUGCAGGAUUCUUUAUAAUGUGGUGUUUGCCUCUUUCUCCUCCCCAGUUCUCAUUCCUCCUUCCUUUUCUACUCAGCCUUUCAGCUAACAUGAACAUUUUUUUAAAAUUCCUCCUUCAGAUAUGUUUCCUCUGCCUCUAGGACUUUGUUCAUGUGAUCCUAUUCACUCAUUCUCCUCCUUUACUGAACUAACUUCUACUCGUUCUAUAUGUUCACUCUCCCUCCCUUCCUUCUUUCCUUCCUUCCCUUCCUCCCUCCCUCCCUCCCUCCUUCCUUCCUUCCUUCUUUCCUUUCUCUCUCUAUUUCUUUCCUUUUCCUUUUUAGGUCCACACCUGCAACAUAUGGAAGUUCUCAGGCUAGGGGUGUAAACAAGAGCUGCAGCUGCCAUCCUAUGCCACAGCCAUAGCAACACCAGAUCUGAGACAUGUCUGCGACCUAAACCACAGCUUGAGGCAUUGCCAGAUCCUUAACCUGAGUGAGGCCAGGGAUCAAACACGCAUCCCCACAAACUAUGUUAGGUCCUUAACCCACUGAUCCACAGUGGGAACUCCUGUUUGCCUUCUCCUAAUUCCCAAGUCUGAAUUACAUGCCCCUCUUUUGUGCUGUUCUCAGACUGCCACAUAGAGGUUCACAGGUCAUGCACAGCACAACUCUAUAGGGUGCUAGUCACAUCGAGAUCUAUAUGGCCCCUGGAGUUGCGCAAUGUGGUCAUGUCUAUAGUAUCUCUAUCACAGUGCUAAAUGCACUCUAAUGUAAUUGCCUGCUGACUUGUCUUUCUUACUAUUUCACUAAGUAGACAAGGGACAUCACACCAGAGACUGGAAGUCAACAAAUUAAAAAAAAAAAACAAAACAAAACAAUUGAUUCUUCAUCUUGGUCAUGAGGUUAUAUAAGCACAUACCCUCUGCUUAUACACUAGGAUAUCCUUUUAGGGAAAGAAACAGAGAAAGGGCAGGUCACCUAAGAAAUGGAACAUUUUUAUCCAAGACAGAGGGAGCCUUUCCCAAAAGAUAUAAAAGUAAAAUACCUAAGCAAUGAAACAUAAGUUCCAUGGGAGCAGGGGAUUUUUGUUUGUUUCUGUUUGGUCCAUUGCUGAUUCCUCUGACCCAACAUAGUGUCUUAUACCUGGUAGUCCUAAAGAAAGGUUUUCCGGAAGGAGUCAUUUGCUUCAUGAUUAUUAUUGUAGUCUAUACUUCAACUGGAUUGAGGGCCCAUGAAGCAUCCUAGAAUAGAGCUAGGCAAGCAUCCAUGUUGCCGUAUUGUGUUAAAUGAAUGGCUGUUCUGCAUGUAUCAGGCUAAGAAACUGUAAUUCCUUAGCAUCAGGCGGCUUUGUGUGGUUUUUUAAUUCAUCUGGGAACAAUUCAGAAGGAAGAAGGAAAAAAAACGUCAUGAGGAGUAGAGUCACAAGAAAGGUAAAUGAACUUCCUGGCUUUUUAACAAGUAACAUUCACAUAGCAUCUUGCAGGCCCACAGUCCUUCCACAGACAUUGUCUCCUCUGCUACUCACCAGAGGAGGUGGAGCCUGAGCAGCCAUUUCCUUCCCGUCUUGAUAAGACUGAAUCUCUCAACCCUAAAUAGAUUUCCUGUUAAAAGUUUCUUUUCUAUCUUAAGGGUUGUAAAUGAAAAGUGAAUCAUCAGGAGCUGUUUGUUAUCUCUCAAUUGUUUUUAUUUUAAAGGAAGUUUUCGGUCUAUUAGAGAAGAAAAAGAAAAAGAAAACUUUUAUGGAACUGGGUUGUUAAGUUAAAGUUUCACAUAACCUAGGAUUCCAUGAAAAUGUGCUAAGAUUCAUGGAUGUAUGGACCUAGAAAGGUUGUCUCUAGUUAAGUGACAAUUGUGAUUUCUUUUGUAUCUCCUAUUGAAAAUACCACGGAAAUCUAGUCUUCCCUCCUUUCUCAGUCUCAACUACAUGUUUAAAUUCACUCUAAUGGUGAUGUAUUUGUUCCCAAGUAUAACUGAACUCUAAACCAAAAAGAUAGCAGAAUAAUGGAACUGCUUGCUCAAGUUUCUAUUUUUCAACAUAUUUAAACUCUAUGUCUUUAAACAUUGGGAAAGUCCUGGAUUAGUUUUUUUUCCUUUACUGCCAUCCCCAUUAGUAUGUAUCGGUUACUGUUAAAUAGAGUCCUUUUAAACAUAAUUUUCUUUUAAUUGGAGUACACUGUAUCUAACAGUUCUGCAAUAGAUUACAUGUUUGGGGUAAUAUGAUCUUACUUAUUAUACCAUAAUUUACUUCAUAUUCAAUAAUAUUUCACUCAGUUUAUUUGAUCUUGGCAUCAUUUGAAGAGAUAAAUGAGAUAAACAUGUUUCAAUGCCAGCUUAAACAAAUUCUAUUGACAUUUAUCUGCUGCCUUUGGUAAAAUGUACCUCAUGGCUGGAUGAUAGAAUGUCACAGUGUCAGACUAGGUUUUAUUAGCUUUUAAAUUGUGCUACCCCAGACCAACUGGUGCCUUACACCAAGAAUCGUUUCUCAGAGAACCCAUUGCAGCAAUCCAUUCUUAAUGAGACUGGGCAAUGCAGCCAUUUACAGAUGAUGCAAGUAGAUUUAGUCUUCACUACUGUCCAUAAUUGUGACAAAUGAAAAUAUGUUUAUUUUUCAUAGCCUUCAUUCAAAAAUUGCAUAAUAUUGAAGUAUACACUUGUCUUCUUAAUUUAUUUACUUCUAUGAUUCAUUAUAAUGAAAUAGUUUUUAAAGCUUUUGCCCAGCUAUAAUACCAGCUGUUUUCACUAACAGAGAUUUUUGCCCAGCUAUAACUCCAGACAGAUAUUUUUAUACAAAAUCUAGUAUCAGUCUUCAGUUUCUAUAUUAGUACCUCAACCUGAAAGGUUAAUUUUGCCAUAAAUAUAACUAAGGCUCAAAUUUACUACCUCCCAGCUGAAUGUUGUUUCAGUUACUGAAAACAAAUUGAUUUACAUGUAAGUUAUAGCAUUUAAUGUUGGUGUUUCAUUGUCUGACUAACUUCACUUAGCGUGAUAAUUUCUAGGUCCAUCCAUGUUGCUACAAUUGCUGUAUUUCUUUCCUUUUAAUGUGGAAUCUAAAAAAAGGACACAAUGAACUUCUUUGCAAAACAGACUCACAGACUUUGAAAAACUUAUGGUUUUUGCACUGAGGGUUUGGGAUGGAAAUGCCUUAAAAUUUGUUUGUGAUGAUUAUUGUACACCUAUAAAUGUAAUAAAAGUCAUUAAGUAAUAAAAAAAUAAAAUGUAGUUGAUUUACAAUGUUGAAUAAGUUUCAGAUGUGCAAAGUGAUUCAGUUAUUCUGAAUUUUUUUUUUUACAUUCUCUUCCAUUAUAGGUUAUUACAAGAUAUUGAGUAUAGGUUCCCUGUGCUAUAUAGUACGUCCUUGUUGGUUAUCUAUUUUAUGUAUAGAAGUGUGUAUAUUUUAAUACCAAACUCCUAAUUUAUCCCUCUCCCUGCUUUGGUAGCCAUAAAUUUGUUUUCUAUGUCUGAAAGUCUGUUUCUGGUUUGUAAAUAAAUUCAUUUAUAAUAUUUUUUUAGGUUCCACACAUAAAUAUCAUAUGACAUACACCUUUCUCUGGAUUACUUCACUGAGUAUGAUAAUCUCUAGGUCCCUCGAUGUUGCUGCAAGUGGCAUUAUUUCAUUCUUUUUUUAUGGCUGAUAUUCCAUUGUAUAUAUGUACCAUAUCUUCUUUAUCCAGUCCUCUGCCAACUGACAUUUAGUUUGCUUCCAUGUCUUGGGCAUCUCUUCUUAAUGAUAUUUGAAAGGGUAAUUUAUUUGCUUCCAAGUCAAAAAAUGUUCUGGCACCAAAAGACUUUCAUUGUAGCCUUCAACAGAGCUCUUUUUUGGAUACAAAUAUCUUCAGAAAAGGAGGGCAGAUGUGAAUCCAGCCUCUGGUGCUGAGGAUGAUAAACUGCGGGGCCAUGGAGAUUCCUGUGCCUCCAGCACUGGCAAGCAGCUAGAAUAAAGUAAAGGGAAGGAUGGGAGGGAUAGUCUUAGAACUCUUAACAUUGCAAUUGCUUUAUAGUCCCCAAAUCUGUUACCCACAUAGGAGGCAUAUUUAUGUUGUUAUUAUUGAUUGUUGCUUGUUUUACCCAUACCUCCAACUUUUUCUU
rnacentral:lncRNA from 1 species